GGUUGUGGCUCAGUGGUAGAGCGCUUGCCUUCAAUGUCAUGAGGCACUGGGUUUGAUUCUCAGCACCA
rnacentral:tRNA from 1 species